AGAUUGAACGCUGGCGGCAGGCCUAACACAUGCAAGUCGAGCGGUAGAGAGGUGCUUGCACCUCUUGAGAGCGGCGGACGGGUGAGUAAUGCCUAGGAAUCUGCCUAGUGGUGGGGGAUAACGUUCGGAAACGGACGCUAAUACCGCAUACGUCCUACGGGAGAAAGCGGGGGACCUUCGGGCCUCGCGCCAUUAGAUGAGCCUAGGUCGGAUUAGCUAGUUGGUGAGGUAAUGGCUCACCAAGGCGACGAUCCGUAACUGGUCUGAGAGGAUGAUCAGUCACACUGGAACUGAGACACGGUCCAGACUCCUACGGGAGCAGCAGUGGGAAUAUGGACAAUGGCGAAAGCCUGAUCCAGCCAUGCGCGUGUGUGAAGAAGGUCUUACGGAUUUGAAAGUCUAACGUUUUUAAGUUGGGAAGGUAAGGGUUUAGUAAACGUUAAUUACGUUGACUAACGUUUGAACGUUUACCGA
rnacentral:rRNA from 1 species